GACGAACGCUGGCGGCGUGCUUAACACAUGCAAGUCGAACGGUAAGGCCCUUCGGGGUACACGAGUGGCGAACGGGUGAGUAACACGUGGGUGAUCUGCCCUGCACUUCGGGAUAAGCCUGGGAAACUGGGUCUAAUACCGGAUAGGACUCCGGACUGCAUGGUCUGGGGUGGAAAGCUUUUGCGGUGUGGGAUGGGCCCGCGGCCUAUCAGCUUGUUGGUGGGGUGAUGGCCUACCAAAGCGACGACGGGUAGCCGGCCUGAGAGGGUGACCGGCAACACUGGGACUGGGAUACGGCCCAGAAUCCUACGGGAGGCAGCAGUGGGGAAUAUUGCACAAUGGGCGCAAGCCUGAUGCAGCGACGCCGCGUGAGGGAUGACGGCCUUCGGGUUGUAAACCUCUUUCAGCACAGACGAAGCGCAAGUGACGGUAUGUGCAGAAGAAGGACCGGCCAACUACGUGCCAGCCGCCGCAGUAA
rnacentral:rRNA from 1 species